rnacentral:tRNA from 1 species
GCCUCAAUGGUCUAGUGGUUAUGACACGACCCUGUCACGGUCGUAACCCGUGUUCGAUUCACGGUUGGGGCG